rnacentral:tRNA from 1 species
CCUGAUAGCUCAGUUGGUAAAGAAUCUGCCUGCAAUGCAGGAGACCCUGGUUCGAUUCUUGGGUCAGGA